rnacentral:miRNA from 1 species
UACAGGAGGUUGUGAGCCACUAUGUGGUUGCUGAGAAUUGAACUCAGGACCUCUGGAAGAACAGUCAGUGCUUUUAACCGCUGAGCC